rnacentral:lncRNA from 1 species
CUGAUUGGGGCACCUUUGGCUUGUGCAGGUCUCAGCAGUACAGUGAUGGUGGUGGCAGUUUCAUUCAGAGAGGCAUCAACGCCUUCAUAGUCAGAUGUCCGAAUGAAGUGCCCUUGACCUCAGGAGACGAGAGGAAAGGCUUGCUAAGCUACACGAGAACACAAUAUAGAACUGAAUGUCUGGAAUGUGUUAUGGCCAAGCCAGGACCACGAGCCUUCCAGAUUCUGCAUUCCUCACUGGCUUACCUGAGAUAUUUGUGGUCACGUUGAUGGCUGUGGCUGGCCCGAAGCCUUUGACGGUGCUGGCUCUUAUGAAGAACUGUGAACUUCACACAUGACAUUAUCCAGAAAUGCCGUUUCAAAGUACAGAGCAAUUUCAUGAGGAUUGAAAUAAAUUAAAAAUCACUGGAUCAAAGGAAAUGUAUUUCUUCAUGGCUAGCAGCAGCAAGAAAUUCUGACGAUAUGUCACCAGACUAAGAUUUAUUUCAUUCUACAAGGAGACUAUGAAUGAUGUUUUGACCUCUGGGGCAGGCAACAUGAGGUGGCACAUAAAAGAAAGAAACCCACAGGGGGAAAAGGGAAAGAAAUCCACAGUAAACAGAGAGCACAGCAGCCCUGAGCUUCAGUCAUGGCCAUGAUUCCACGAGCAUCCCUUACCCUGCUCCAAGGUGUCAGCAAAGGCUACUCUGCCCAUUGCAGCUGAGAUCCUGACAAACAUUCCCAACAUUCUGUGCGAUUUCUGGCAGUGCCAAGGCUGCCAGGGACACUGGUUUGCUGUGCAAGGAGAUGUAUGUAUAUUUGUGGAAUCUGUUUGUGAUCACAGUCAGGGGGGUGCCUCUCUUCUUCCCGUGUUUGCCAGGGCGCUUGGCAGAUGGACAGGCAAGAAUGAAAAGUGAGAACUGGUAUCAACAUUUCUGUGUCUACAGAACUCAAUUGGGCCUAUAAAUUCUACGAGACGGAAUGAAGGCAUUUCAAAUUGUUCUUAUCUAGGAGUGGUUUAAACUAGUUGCAUAAUUCUGCAUUGAAAGAUGGACAGGCAUGAAAAUUUGCUUCCCUACAACGCUGACAUUGUCAUCCCUUUUCACGCAUGUUCUACUUUGACACAAGUCUGCUUACAGCAUUUCCAGGUUCUGUUUUCAAGAUGAAAAACGGGGGAGAAUAGCAAGCCCAAGGUAUGCCACACAUGUGAUCAUGACUUGGACCAAUAAGUACUCCAAACUUUAUACACACACACACACACACACACACACACACACACACUCACACACACACACACGAAGAAGGUGAGGAUGAGGUAUGGGUAUAGACCAUAUAUAUAUGUCUGUGUAUAUAAUAUAUAUAUGUAUAUAUGUAUAUAUAUGUAUAUACACACACGUGUUUACAUAAGGAAGGAGAGGAUGAGGUAUGGGUACAGACUAUAUAUAUGUCUGUAUGUAAAUAUAUAUGUAUAUAUAUGCAUAAAGAUGGUAAGGAUGAAGUAUGGUUACAGACCUUAUGUGUGUGUGUGUGUACAUAUAUACAUAAGGACAGUGAAGGUA